UAGACUGGCCCAACAUGAACUCACGAAAAUUACAUCUCGCCCCUCGAUCGGGGAAUCACAAGCCAUCCAGACACAUAUACUACUGAGCGUUCGCGUGCGCAUACAGACGUGUGGAAGGAAUUUCAAGAAUUAUAUCUCAAGCUGAAUCAAGACACAUGAUAAGAAUUCUAAGAAAGUGAAGUUUUUCCUAAAAGUUCUGCAGCCUCU
rnacentral:lncRNA from 1 species